AACAAAACUAACCCAAUGGAUUAAAGAAGGAACAGGUGUUUUCUGGCAUCAUGAGUCAGCAGACAGAGCUGCAGCUUGCAACCUGCAAAAAGACUCAGAGACAACACACAGAGGCUGUAAUUAACCGUACAUGAUGACAUUGAUAUAAUAAGAAGCAACAGGAAAGAUUCAGUUCAGUCCUUUCACUUUCUUUUUGAAAUGGAGGAAGUUUCUGAGAAAGUGAAGAUUGAAGAAACCGAAGUUUCCCCCAUGCAAAACAAUGGGCAACCAAAAGACGUUUUGAAGAGAUUUUCACCGCUGGAGAAUCCCAAAGAAACUACCCAAUUGCUCACUCGAGAAAUUAAACAAGAAAAACCAGACAUCAAUCUUGGACUCUCUUUGGGUGGCAUUUACGGUGAAAACUCCAAUAAAAAACCUCUAACUAGAUCAUCAUCAAUCAUUGGAGUGCUGACCCCGAACAAGGACCCUGAGGAGCUUGAUUCUCCACUACCCAAGUCCUUCCUUUCAUUGUCAAGGUCUUGCUCAAUGCCUACUGAGGCAGAGCAAGAGCAGAGAAAAGCAACUCUGAUGGCUUUGGCAAGGAGGAGAACUGAGUCCACUGACAGAUUCAUGACGGAGAGGAGUAGAAAGGGAGUCACCGACAAGGAAAAAUCUCCAACUAGAGAGCCAAUGCCGUCUUCGCCCUCUAAAAUAGCUGCCUGGGCUGCUGCUUCUGCUGCUAAUAGCCCUGCCUUGUGUCGUGCCCUUGUUCAGAUCAAGAGGCAGGCCUCUUUGUAUGGCAACAGAAAGCUUGAAGGAGAAGAAGGUUCAGCUGCAGGGCAGGGUGUUAGCAGUUCAAAAUCGUUACAAAUGCAGAAGGAUGCAGAAUCCAAGGUCAUGUUAGGGAGGACAAUCUCAAAUGGAAAACCGGUCAAGGAUGCCGAAACCAAGCUUGAGAAUCCAUCAAAAAAGAUUAAACUUGAGAACAAUGGAUUUCAAGAUAAUGGAAUGGAUGUGAUGAAACAGAUGCCUAGUGUGACAACUACCGGAGAUGGCCCUGAUGGAAAGAAAAUAGAAGGGUUUCUGUACAAAUACAGAAAAGGUACAGUAAGCAUAGUGUGUGUUUGCCAUGGCAGCUUCCUUUCUCCAGCAGAAUUUGUCAAGCAUGCUGGUGGAAAGGAUGUUCCAAACCCCAUGAAGCACAUCACUGUCUGCUCCUCUAUCUCGUUCUAGAUCGCGGCUUGGCUUCCUCGCCGAUUAUGAGAGCUAUAAGAUAUAGGAAAUGAGAAAACCUGAAACUAGUAAGCUACCCUUUUUUUCCUGUCUCGUCUCUUUUUUGCUUUUGUUUAGAAACUUCCACCCGAUGGUGGAGCCUUUUUCCCUUUUGAGAACUCUUGGAAGGACUGUGUUUAGCUUUUAAUAGAAGAGUAGCUGCAUGCUUUUGCUCAUAACCCUCCCUAUUCAAAUUGUUUUACAUUAUUGCUUCCAUGGUCAUAUAUGUUAAGCACUCGAUGAUGGUGAAAGCAAUGAAUAAUCCAUCUACAUGUGCUGGCAGAUUAGAUGUGAUUGUGGUGUAGAAUGCAGAACCCUUCUAUAAACAUACGAUAGGUAGGUAGUGGCUGUGGCUGUAUCACCUCUUCUGAAAUGCUUUAGAUAGAAGCUGAAAAUCCCACUUGAAAAAGUAGAAAUU
rnacentral:misc_RNA from 1 species